rnacentral:rRNA from 1 species
CCUACGGGAGGCAGCAGUGAGGAAUAUUGGUCAAUGGACGGAAGUCUGAACCAGCCAUGCCGCGUGCAGGAAGACGGCUCUAUGAGUUUUAAACUGCUUUUGUACAAGGGUAAACAUGAAUACGUGUAUUCAGCUGACAGUACUGUAAGAAUAAGGAUCGGCUAACUCCGUGCCAGCAGCCGCGGUAAUACGGAGGAUCCAAGCGUUAUCCGGAUUUAUUGGGUUUAAAGGGUGCGUAGGCGGAUUGAUAAGUGAGACGGGAAAUGUGCGAGCUUAACUCGGGAACUGCCGCUAUUACUGUUGAUCUAGAGAGUAGAUGAGGUAGGCGGAAUGGAUGGUGUAGCGGUGAAAUGCUUAGAGAUCAUGCAGAACACCGAUUGCGAAGGCAGCUUACCAAUCUAUAUCUGACGUUGAGGCACGAAAGCGUGGGGAGCAAACAGGAUUAGAUACCCGAGUAGUC